UACGUAGGGGGCGAGCGUUGUCCGGAAUUAUUGGGCGUAAAGCGCACGCAGGCGGUUCGCUAAGUUCGAAGUGACAAUCACCGGCUUAACCGGUGAACGAUUUCGAAAACUGGCGGACUGGAGAGCGAGGGAGGGACAUGGAACUCCGGGUGGAGCGGUGAAAUGCGUAGAUAUUCGGAAGAACACCAGUGGCGAAGGCGACUUACUGGACACAUAUUGACGCUGAGGUGCGAAAGCGUGGGGAGCAAACAGG
rnacentral:rRNA from 1 species